UACCAGCACCCCGAGUGGUCGGGACGUUUAUUGGGCCUAAAGCAUCCGUAGCCGGUUCUACAAGUCUUCCGUUAAAUCCACCUGCUUAACAGAUGGGCUGCGGAAGAUACUAUAGAGCUAGGAGGCGGGAGAGGCAAGCGGUACUCGAUGGGUAGGGGUAAAAUCCGUUGAUCCAUUGAAGACCACCAGUGGCGAAGGCGGCUUGCCAGAACGCGCUCGACGGUGAGGGAUGAAAGCUGGGGGAGCAAACCGGAUUAGAUACCCGGGUAGUCCCAGCUGUAAACGAUGCAGACUCGGUGAUGAGUUGGCUUAUUGCUAAC
rnacentral:rRNA from 1 species